CAUACCCGUGAACAGGCGCUGGUUUGGAGAAGGGUCCAUUCUUUUGAACGGCAACUUGGUUUUUUUCCGCUCUGGACUUUGCAAACACCCCCCUUCCCGGGAUAAACGGUCUCGGUAAUUUGAAGUUUUGAGACUAGAUCUGUGACUUGAUGUUAUGCACUUUUUAAAAAACCCACCAAUGUUGCCUUUUUUAAAAAAAAAGGGGGGGGGGACUUUUUUAACACUGAAACUUGAAGCAUAGACAUGAAAUCUCAGCGGGGAAAAAAAAAAAGUCAGUGCUUAUCGGUCGCGAGGAUUCCUCUGUGAACCCGCCCUCAUCCUCGAGGGGACGGGAGUCCAUCCCCUUAUCCCUGCGCCUGGCACAGGGUGGACUCAGGGAAUGUCGGCUGAGUGAGGAAUGAGAGGCGCUCACCCUAGCCACCUGGUUCUCUAAGUGGCCGUGCGAGGAGUCCAUUUGAAAUCGUUAAAAGCAAAUGAAAAAAAAAAUUUUUUUUAAUUCAUGCAUUCUGAUUUUAAAAAUAAGCAACUUUAUUGAGAUAUAAGCAGGCCACAGGACUCAUCCGUUCAAGCAACUCGGUGUUUUUAGCAUAUUCACAGGAUUGUGCAACAUCCCUCUGAUUUUAAAUCCAUUCUGAAAGAAGCCUAACUUGUUUUAAUGAUUUUUGUCUGCAGUGCUAGUGGAGCAGAUGUAUAAAUAGGUUUAAGCAAGAAAAGGUCCCCUGAGCAAAAAGAUAAUCUUCCUCCAGCCAGGACAUGCCCGGGAGAGUUCUGAGGAAGGCUCUGUAUCACUUGCAACUUCUCCCGCUUCCCCCGGGAUCCUGUCGGCAGUCCCUUCCUCUCAUGUCCAGUAAUCAACCCACACAAAGCCUUUGGACAGAAACUAUGCAUUAAAAACUUCAACUGAAAAACAAACUCGAAGAACCAAAGUGAUUACAAACCUGGGGUUGUAAUGCAAGCUGUCCCUUAACUAGAGCAUUUACAACUAUGAACACUAUAAUUAAAGGGCUUAGGGUGCAGCAGAGGUUGCUUUGUUCAAUAUUGUUUCACCUGCCAUUAAAAUGAGAACAAAAUUGCUUUGAUAAGUGGAUUAAAA